rnacentral:rRNA from 1 species
UACGGAGGGGGCUAGCGUUGUUCGGAAUUACUGGGCGUAAAGCGCACGUAGGCGGCGAUUUAAGUCAGAGGUGAAAGCCCGGGGCUCAACCCCGGAAUAGCCUUUGAGACUGGAUUGCUUGAACAUCGGAGAGGUGAGUGGAAUUCCGAGUGUAGAGGUGAAAUUCGUAGAUAUUCGGAAGAACACCAGUGGCGAAGGCGGCUCACUGGACGAUUGUUGACGCUGAGGCACGAAGGCCAGGGGAGCAAACGGG